ensembl:rRNA 5S_rRNA 5S ribosomal RNA
GUCUACGGCCAUGCCAUCCUGAAUGUGCCUUAUCUGAUCUCAUCAGAUCUCAGAAGCUAAGCAGAGUCUGGCCUGGCUAGAACUUGGGUGGGAGACCACCUAGGAAUACCAGGUGCUGUAGGCA